AGUGAACGCUGGCGGUAGGCCUAACACAUGCAAGUCGAACGGCAGCACAGUAAGAGCUUGCUCUUACGGGUGGCGAGUGGCGGACGGGCGAGGAAUACAUCGGAAUCUACUUUUUCGUGGGGGAUAACGUAGGGAAACUUACGCUAAUACCGCAUACGACCUACGGGUGAAAGCAGGGGAUCUUCGGACCUUGCGCGAUUGAAUGAGCCGAUGUCGGAUUAGCUAGUUGGCGGGGUAAAGGCCCACCAAGGCGACGAUCCGUAGCUGGUCUGAGAGGAUGAUAAGCCACACUGGAACUGAGACACGGUCCAGACUCCUACGGGAGGCAGCAGUGGGGAAUAUUGGACAAUGGGCGCAAGCCUGAUCCAGCCAUACCGAGUGGGUGAAGAAGGCCUUCGGGUUGUAAAGACCUUUUGUUGGGAAAGAAAAGCAGCAGGUUAAUACCCCGCUGUUCUGACGGUACCCAAAGAAUAAGCACCGGCUAACUUCGUG
rnacentral:rRNA from 1 species